AGAUAAUGAAGUAAAAUACUUACAAUUAGUUUCGACCUAAAAUUAGGAUUAAUUUAUUAUCCCUUAUCUA
rnacentral:tRNA from 1 species